AGAGUUUGAUUCUGGCUCAGGACGAACGCUGGCGGCGUGCUUAAGACAUGCAAGUCGAACGAAUGUAGAAAUACAUUAGUGGCGGACUGGUGAGUAACGUGUGAGCAAUCUGCCUCUAACUGGGGGAUAACACUUAGAAAUAGGUGCUAAUACCGCAUAAGACCACAUGAAGGCAUCUUCGAGGGGUCAAAGAUUUAUCGGUUAGAGAUGAGCUCGCAUCCCAUUAGCUAGUUGGUGAGGUAACGGCCCACCAAGGCGACGAUGGGUAGCCGACCUGAGAGGGUGAUCGGCCACACUGGGACUGAGAUACGGCCCAGACUCCUACGGGAGGCAGCAGUCGGGAAUAUUGGGCAAUGGAGGAAACUCUGACCCAGCAACGCCGCGUGAAGGAAUAGAAGGUCUUCGGAUUGUAAACUUCUGUCGCGAGGGACGAAGAAUGACGGUACCUCGUAAGAAAGCCCCGGCUAACUACGUGCCAGCAGCCGCGGUAAUACGUAGGGGGCAAGCGUUGUCCGGAAUGACUGGGCGUAAAGGGAGUGUAGGUGGCAUAAUAAGUUAUAUGUGAAAGCCCGUGGCUUAACUGCGGAACUGCAUAUAAAACUGUUAAGCUUGAGUGCAGGAGAGGUAAGCGGAAUUCCUAGUGUAGCGGUGGAAUGCGUAGAUAUUAGGAAGAACACCAGUGGCGAAGGCGGCUUACUGGACUGUAACUGACACUGAGGCUCGAAAGCGUGGGGAGCAAACAGGAUUAGAUACCCUGGUAGUCCACGCCCUAAACGAUGGAUACUAGACGAAGCGGAGUAUAAU
rnacentral:rRNA from 1 species